rnacentral:piRNA from 1 species
UACUUCUUUAUCGACGACUUCCUGGGACU